rnacentral:tRNA from 1 species
GCCCUGGUGGCUCAGUGGUUGAGCGUUGACCUAUGAAUCAGGAGGUCAUGGUUUGAUUCCUGGUUGGGGCA